UACGUAGGGGGCAAGCGUUGUUCGGAAUUACUGGGCGUAAAGCGCUCGUAGGCGGCUCUUCAAGUCAGGCGUGAAAGCCCCGAGCUUAACUCGGGAACUGCGCUUGAUACUGUCGAGCUAGAGUGUGGAAGGGGCGAUUGGAAUUCCGUGUGUAGCGGUGAAAUGCGUAGAUAUACGGAGGAACACCGGUGGCGAAGGCGGUGAUCUGGGCCGACACUGACGCUGUAGAGCGAAAGCGUGGGGAGCGAACAGG
rnacentral:rRNA from 1 species